AGAGUUUGAUCAUGGCUCAGGACGAACGCUGGCGGCGUGCUUAACACAUGCAAGUCGAGGGCACCAGCAAUGGUGACCGGCGAACGGGUGCGUAACACGUGAGCGACCUACCGAUUCGUGGGGGAUAGCCGGCCCAACGGCCGGGUAAUACCGCAUACGCCGAGCUUGCUGCAUGGUGAGCUCGGGAAACUUCAGGGGCG
rnacentral:rRNA from 1 species